rnacentral:rRNA from 1 species
CAGCACCUCAAGUGGUCAGGAUGAUUAUUGGGCCUAAAGCAUCCGUAGCCGGCUCUGUAAGUUUUCGGUUAAAUCUGUACGCUCAACGUACAGGCUGCCGGGAAUACUGCAGAGCUAGGGAGUGGGAGAGGUAGACGGUACUCGGUAGGAAGGGGUAAAAUCCUUUGAUCUAUUGAUGACCACCUGUGGCGAAGGCGGUCUACCAGAACACGUCCGACGGUGAGGGACGAAACCCUGGGGCGCGAACCGGAUUAGAUACCCGAGUAGUCC